ensembl:lncRNA
AGCCAAGGGAGGAGCAUCAGAAAAAACAUUCCACUGGCGAGGAGGAAUGAUGAAAGCGCAGCAGCCACACUCAGUGCCAGGUCUGGGACAGACUGGAAAGAGAACGGCAAGGUGGAGCCUAAGCUGACUUCACAGAUGCCUGAAAAUGGGAAGUCACUCGAGUGUGAACCAGUUUAGCAGCAGCCUUGGCAAUUAAAGCUCCGUCUCCACCACUAUUACCCCAACCUUGGACAGUAGAACUACUGCCCGAGGGUUCCUUAAUCUGAGUGGAAGAAUCAGUUGGCAAAUUGAGGAGAAGUAUUGAAGCUCCAAUUGGCAGACCCUGGAGAUUUACAUGAUGCAAAUAUAAAGAAACUGAAAAUUGAAGGAAACAAGGCAAACAUUGUAAUGGAAUAACAAGGAGGGGCAGUGGAUCAGAAAAGACAUUAAUCCGAGCUCCAGAAGAUACAGCAGAAGUGAACAAGAGAAAGAGGGCCUCUCUGAGGUUCCUAGAUGAAAAUUGAAGCCCACUGGAAAAGUGACAACAAUCUCUGCAAUAAAGGCACACCGGACCACCGUUCUUGAUUUCCACUCGGGCAAGUUGGACUAUCUCUCCUGUUUCUACUUUAAAAGUUCAGCACCCUGCUGGAACCCGGUCCUGUGGACACCAGCAGCUCGCGCCCUGCCUGACCUCGCCGCACAUACGUACAGGAUCAUGCCGCACGGAUGCCGCGAGGCAUCUGAAUCCACACAGCAGAGGCGCCAGGGGGAACAUAAAAGCCAUGAAGAAGUGAAUGACAGAGAGGGCCUUUCUGACGCUCCUCAAGGAAAAUUGAAGCCCACUGGGAAAGUGAAGAAAACUCUUCAAUAAAGCACACCAGACCAUCGUGGUUGGUCUGCAUCCUUUACCAAAGUGCAAAAUGAUCAAUUCAAGCAAUAUCUUCCACUACUCUUUCCUCUCUAAGAGGUUUCCUAUGCACUUCACUCACUGCUUCUUGAGCAGCACACUGCACUGUUUUUGCCAGAACCCUCUACAGGGAAUCCCAAAGAGGACGUCACUUUCUUCUGGAAGCCACUGGACCUUGAUUCUGUGCUCCAGCCCUUCAGGAGGCCUGGCAAGAUUCUGAAGUGUGGGAAUGUAGAAGCGAGUAGCUCAUGGAAGGAAAGUAUAAUAAGAUAAACACAUCCUUUUUUGUGAGACAAAAAAGUCCACAUCUGUUCAAAAGGAAAUUCAAAAUAUGAAAAUGUAGUGUUUGUCUUAAUCUGUCUUGUGCCUGCGCAUGUGCCUGCCACAUGGUGACUUCAGAUUAAAGGGAAAAUACCUGUUCC